GAGGGUAUAGCUCAGAGUGCAUGCUUAGCAUGCAUGAGGUCCUGGGUUCAAUCCCCAGUACUAUUU
rnacentral:tRNA from 1 species